GAGAGCUGGGAAAUGUAGCUGUUCUCCAUUUUCCUUCCAGUCAGAUGAGAAGACCUGCGAGGAUUUAGCAGAAGGCGACCGCUAUUCAGCACCUCCCGACAGCUCUUUCUCACCGCUGGAUGAGGAUGUCACCACCUCCACGUCCUCGCUCUUCAUUGACAGCCUCACCACAGAAGAUGAUACAAAGCUCAAUCAGUAUGCCGGAAGCGAAGGUGUGGGAAGCAGCCUGCCUUCCAAGAAAGCAGGUGCCCCGAUUCACACAGGUACUAUCGUGGGGAUCGUUCUGGCUGUGUUGCUCAUUGCAGCUAUUAUCCUCGCUGGGAUUUACAUCAACAGCCACCCCACCUCCAACGCUGCCCUGUUCUUCAUUGAGCGAAGGCCACAUCACUGGCCUGCCAUGAAAUUCCGAAAUCACACCAACCACGCAACGUACUCGGAGGUGGAGCCGACCAGCCAGGAGAAGGAGGGCUUUGUCGAAGCGGAACAGUGCUGAGCGCUUCUCUCCCUGCGUCUCGAACCUCCCAUGUCUCAAGUGUUGGAGUCUUCUGUUAUUCUAUUGCAAAGUCUUUCCCCUCUUGGAAAAGAAACGGCAAGUAGAGGAAAAAGACCCAAUGGAGCAUUUGGAAAGAAAGAGUCAGGGUGAUGUGAGGCUGGAUUUGCCUGGAUUCCCCACGGGACAGCCGAGCCUGCAGCCCAGCACCGAAGCCCUGGAUGUGGCGGUAGAAAAAAAAACGCAAAGUUUUGGUUUGGCGUGGGGUUUUUUGUUCUGUGGUUGGGUUUUUUUUCCCCGCUGUGUGUGGCUGACCUCUUCCCUCCUCCACCAGGACUCUUAACAGGGGCAGCAAAGAGGGGACAAAUCUCGGUAAGGGCAAAAUACGCAGUUGCUUCAAGCAGCAGGC
rnacentral:lncRNA from 1 species